UGAACGCUGGUCACGAGGUGCCAGGAGUGCGAAUAGCCCGCGGUAAGGAGCCCGGAUGACAAGGAAACAGCACACCCGGGCUGCGGGGAUGGCUGCUUAGCCAGCCUUUCGGUGACGUCAGGUGGCCAGAGGGGCCUGGGCCUCCCCCAGCCCCCGAAGGACCGCCCUCAGGUCGGCUCCCACGGGCUGCCCUCCCGCGCCCCCACGCGCCGCUGCCUCUAACUGGAUCCGGGAGAAACCGGAGCGAGAAUGAGGAAGCAUUUGUCUCAGAAAACAGUAAUAAAAGCUGCUUACUGUAACAAAACAGGAGGUUGGGAACAAAAUCAGAGAACAUGCGACUGUUUGGCAAAGAGUGGCAUCAGCAAAUAGACGAUGGCUCCCUUCAAAAUCCCUCGCGUUCAGGUAUGUUAGUCUGUUUCUUGACAAAAUCAUCAGCACCUACA